CUGGGGAGCAGUCAGCUGCGUCCCAGUAGCUGGCUGGGGAGGUGGGACAUGCUGGGGACACGGGAGGGCUUGGGGACAGGUUGGGGACGUGGUGGCACUUGUCCCAGCGCCUGGCACAGGAGGUGACACGGCAGCGGGGACGGGCAGAGGCAGCUGAGGAGGCACUGAGAGGACUGGCCCAGGCGGCUGCCAGGCUGGCCAGGGUGGUGACAGCCCGCGAGGCCGAGGUGACAGCAGCCACCAGCGCCAUGGUCACCCUCAGCGCCCGUCUGCGCCGCGCAGGACAGCGGCUCCGUGUCCUGAGGGGGCUGGUGGCUCCGAUGGUGGCCUUGGACCGUCCCCAGUGGCAGCAGGACUCAGCGGGGGAUGGGUCACUUCCUGUGAGGACAGGAUGGGGCACCCCCCCAGCAGAGAGGCGUUGGGGUCCCUCGUGAUGCAGCUACAGGCCCUGGGCGCCGCCAUCCUCGGGGACGAUGGGGACAGCAGGGACCCCCCCUGACCCCACUGUGGACCCGGCCAUCCAGGUGAGUCACCCCCCACCGCCCCAGCCAGUGGGAAGGGGACCAGUUUGGCCCAGUUUGGCACUGGUGUGACCCACGUGUCACUUUCCAGGGUAAUAUUUGGC
rnacentral:lncRNA from 1 species